ACUUAACAAUAAUUUUGUCAAUCGGUAGAGACAUUGCAUGAUCAUAUAUUUCCAACUAUAAUACUCCCACAAAUUUACGAAAUUUCAGCCAUUAAGCUUAAUAAUAAAAAAAUUAAAAACUUAACAAUAACAAAAAAGUAUUGGUGGGAUUUAUAAUUAUCGAUGGAUGGAUUAGAUAGCCUUAUACAAAAAAGAAAAUUUAACGGAAGUGUAAAAAAAUAAGGUAAACAUACAUUCAUAGUAACAAAAAUCAAAGCCAAAGGAAACGUAACAAAAACCACACGAUGAAGCUUACGAACUACUCAGGAACUAUGGUAAUAUACGUUCAUACGAAGAAAUUAAAGCAUAAUUACUUGAGUAAAUUCAAGGAAAUUCUAAAAUAUGUUGCAUUACCUGUGUUUAAAACACAAGAUGGACUAAAGAUGAUUGUUUCACUUUACAACCAAUAGUAAAAGUGAAAAAGACAAUGUCAUAUAUUUAAGGACCACCAUGGACUCCAAACAUUUCAAAUAAAAACUCAAAAAGCUCAAUACUGACAGUAUUGGCAUCAUAGGGAUGUCUCCUUUUCUGCUCUCCUUCAUUCAACCCCGUUUCUCCUUACCGUAUCUUUUCUGCCAAGUUAGCAGAAAGAUGGUCAUCACCCACCGACUUCCUUCAUAGCAAUGCAUAAUAAAUGUAAAAAAUAAAAUGAAAAUGAAAAAAGAAGACUCCAUAUUUCUGACAUGAAAUGCAGACAGCCAAAUGACCGAAACACCUGUGCCCAAAAAUGGUGAUGACCUGACUCAUGGUAUGCAGUUGAGACUCCCACGCAACAAAUGCAGAUGUAUGCAAGAACUAUGACCCAUGAAACAGCAGCGGUGGCCUCAAUAUGAAAUUGCUCGACUGAUUGUAACCUUGGCCCAGUCAGC
rnacentral:lncRNA from 1 species